rnacentral:rRNA from 1 species
UGGCGGCGUGCCUCAUACAUGCAAGUGGAGCGACGAACCAGGGCUUGCCCUGGAGCAAAGCCGCGAACGGGUGAGUAACACGUGGGUAACCUGCCCCGAAGACCGGGACAACCCGAGGAAACUCGGGCUAAUACCGGAUGUGCUCGCCGCGCUUAAGCGCGGCGCGUAAAGGAAGCUUCGGCCUCCGCUUUGGGAGGGGCCCGCGGCCCAUUAGCUAGUUGGUGAGGUAACGGCUCACCAAGGCUGCGAUGGGUAGCUGGUCUAAGAGGACGGUCAGCCACACUGGGACUGAGACACGGCCCAGACUCCUACGGGAGGCAGCAGUAGGGAAUCUUGCGCAAUGCGCGAAAGCGUGACGCAGCAACGCCGCGUGGGGGAAGAAGGCCUUCGGGUUGUAAACCCCUUUCAGGAGGGACGAAGGUGCGGCGGCGAACAGCCGUCCGUACUGACGGUACCUCCAGAAGAAGCCCCGGCUAACUACGUGCCAGCAGCCGCGGUAAUACGUAGGGGGCAAGCGUUGUCCGGAAUCAUUGGGCGUAAAGAGCGCGUAGGCGGCCCGGUAAGUCCGCUGUAAAAGUCCAGGGCUCAACCCUGGAAAGCCGGUGGAUACUGUCGGGCUCGAGUCCGGAAGAGGCGAGUGGAAUUCCUGGUGUAGCGGUGGAAUGCGCAGAUAUCAGGAGGAACACCAAUAGCGAAGGCAGCUCGCUGGGACGGUACUGACGCUGAGGCGCGAAAGCGUGGGGAGCAAACAGG